rnacentral:rRNA from 1 species
GGGGAUAACACUUGGAAACAGGUGCUAAUACCGUAUAACACUAUUUUCCGCAUGGAAGAAAGUUGAAAGGCGCUUUUGCGUCACUGAUGGAUGGACCCGCGGUGCAUUAGCUAGUUGGUGAGGUAACGGCUCACCAAGGCCACGAUGCAUAGCCGACCUGAGAGGGUGAUCGGCCACACUGGGACUGAGACACGGCCCAGACUCCUACGGGAGGCAGCAGUAGGGAAUCUUCGGCAAUGGACGAAAGUCUGACUGAGCAACGCCGCGUGAGUGAAGAAGGUUUUCGGAUCGUAAAACUCUGUUGUUAGAGAAGAACAAGGAUGAGAGUAGAACGUUCAUCCCUUGACGGUAUCUAACCAGAAAGCCACGGCUAACUACGUGCCAGCAGCCGCGGUAAUACGUAGGUGGCAAGCGUUGUCCGGAUUUAUUGGGCGUAAAGCGAGCGCAGGCGGUUUCUUAAGUCUGAUGUGAAAGCCCCCGGCUCAACCGGGGAGGGUCAUUGGAAACUGGGAGACUUGAGUGCAGAAGAGGAGAGUGGAAUUCCAUGUGUAGCGGUGAAAUGCGUAGAUAUAUGGAGGAACACCAGUGGCGAAGGCGGCUCUCUGGUCUGUAACUGACGCUGAGGCUCGAAAGCGUGGGGAGCGAACAGGAUUAGAUACCCU